rnacentral:tRNA from 1 species
CCAUCGGUGGUUCAGUGGUAGAAAUGCUCGCCUGCCACGCGGGCGGCCGGGGUUCGAUUCCGGCCGAUGCA